AGUGGCUGGCUGGGGAGGCGGGUCUGAGGGGGGCUCCGCCUACUCGCCUCUCUGGGCUCGCUCCCUUGCCCGGGACCAGGCCGCCCGACGCCUCCGAGUCACCGGUGCUGGCUGGCGCCCCUUUGCGUCGUGGGGACUCUCGGAGCGUGACGUCGUCCGGCCGCGGCCGAGCCUAGCCAUGGGCCUGAUAUUUGCUAAGCUGUGGAGUUUUUUCUGUGACCAGGAACACAAAGUAAUAAUAGUGGGACUUGACAAUGCAGGAAAGACCACCAUUCUUUACCAGUUCUUAAUGAAUGAAGUGGUCCACACAUCUCCAACCAUAGGAAGCAAUGUUGAAGAAAUAGUAGUAAAAAAUACCCAUUUCCUUAUGUGGGAUAUUGGAGGACAGGAGUCAUUACGGUCAUCGUGGAAUACCUAUUAUUCAAAUACAGAGUUCAUCAUUCUUGUUGUUGACAGCAUUGACAGAGAACGACUUUCUAUCACAAAAGAAGAACUUUACAGAAUGUUGGCUCAUGAGGAUUUACGGAAGGCUGCAGUUCUCAUCUUUGCAAAUAAGCAGGACAUGAAAGGUUGUAUGACAGCUGCUGAAAUAUCUAAAUACCUCACUCUUAGUUCUAUAAAGGAUCACCCAUGGCACAUUCAGUCCUGCUGUGCUUUGACUGGAGAAGGGUAAGUGUCAAGUUACAUGUGUCAAGUUCAAGAAUGUAAAAUAAAUGGAAAACUCUGUGACUUUUAGAAGCUCAUUAGCACCAGUCUAGAUCUUUUGAAAUAGGAUUUUUCUUAUUCUCACCUUUGCAGACAUAAUGACACCUUAAGUGUAUCUUCCCCUUGGCUGACUUCUGGAUCUGCCUUACAGCUGAGUCCUCCUGCUUUAACUGAUAAGAUUUUUUAGCCAUGUGAAAGAAUGAUGCUCUACGCUCCUAUUGACUCUCACUAUGUCGACUGGCUAGCAUACUUGCUCUUUGCUUAGUGUCUGUAAUACCUGGGUGACUGCUUCAACUCUCUAUUCACUAGGGAAGCAGCUCUGACUUGACCAGAGGAUAAAGAAUAUAAAUAGGAUAUGGCUUUCAGCCUUACUGUGAGGAUCACUUAUGAACCCCAUUUUCUCUUGUGUAGAAGCCAACAAAUAUUUUAGUGCUCCUGGAAAUCCCUACCAGGAGACUUCCACCCUUUCCUUCUGGAAUGUCUUUUUAAUAUGUAGUCCUAUCAGACCUUAUUUUGACUUUUCAGAUGUAUACUCAAAAAGACAUGUUUGCCAACAUUCACUAUGACAUGAAGACCUUCUUUGUUACUGGUGUAAAACGUGUUACCUAUAUGCAGUUGAUGUAAUUGACUUAUUAACUUUUAAACUUCUAUCUCAGUUAUGCCAGCAAAGUUACAAAAAUUUAAACUGAGCUUUCCUCAGACCCCUUGCCUUCACAGAUGAGACAUUCUUGGUGUCUGACUAGAGCUAACCAUGGAUUUUUCUUUCAGAUCCAGUUACCCAGUUUUCCUAAGUGCCCUGAACUUCCACCUUGAUUUUCAAACAACCUCAUCAUUUGUAGAAUUCAUUUUGUUUCAGCAGUAAAAUAGUAGAAAAAUAUUCUGCGAUAAUGCUGCCUCAGGGCUUCAAAAGUAGUGGAUAUAGCAGAUCAUUCAGAAGUUUAAAAAAAAAAAAAUCUUCCCCACAAUGAUGAAAUGUGAAGUUUACUUUUCAGAUAUGGCUGGGACUGUCCUGUGAAAUUAUGCCAAGGUCUGGAAUGGAUGACCUCCCAUAUUGGAGUGAGAUAACUUUGUUGCAAAAGAGACUGCAUCUAUUUAUUCUGUGAACAUGAACAUUUUCCUGGUACUUCUGGUUGCUAAGGCAGCGACCAUGUUUAAUUUAUAACGACAGAAACCUCUGAGCAGCACUUGAAUCAAGUGCAGCUGAACUGAAACACAAAGUAUUUUUAACUUUUUUAAUGCACUACUCUUCCACAGGAUGAACAUAUGAAUCUGUUUCAGUAUCAAAGUUCUCCUGGCUUUUGUAAUUUUUCAGUGGUUGCCUUGUAAGAUAUCUUUCAUCAUGGAAAAUAUUUCACACUUGAUUUUUGUAAUGAUGCAAACUGUCUCUGUAAUUUACUACCUUAAAUUUCUUCAUUAACACUGGGGGAAAAAGUGAGUAGAUUGACAUAUACCCUAGCAUAACUUUAAUGAUUUCAAAAGUUUGGGCUAUCUGUGUUCAGAUAGCCAUAUCUGCAAUUGGGCUAUUACCAAGGCAGAUUUUAGGUAUGUUAAGAAUUGUAAUAGUCAGCAUUGAAACAGUUAUUUAUAGUUGUUGAUAUGCUUGGUUUUUGUUUUUGUUUUUUUUCAUAUGUGUAAGUGAAUUUCUGCCUUAAAAUAAAAUGUUCCCUUUUUUAUUUCCUUGU